rnacentral:snRNA from 1 species
GUGCUUGCUUCAGUAGCACAUAUCCUAAAGUUGGAACAGUAGAGAGAUUGGCAUGGCCUCUGUGCAAGAAUGAUGUUCAGAUUUGUGAAGUGUUCCAUAUGUUU